rnacentral:rRNA from 1 species
UUAUAAGAGACAGCAGCAGCCGCGGUAAAACGUAGGAGGCAAGCGUUGUCCGGAAUUAUUGGGCGUAAAGGGCUCGCAGGCGGUUUCUUAAGUCUGAUGUGAAAGCCCCCGGCUCAACCGGGGAGGGUCGUUGGAAACUGGGGAACUUGAGUGCAGAAGAGGAGAGUGGAAUUCCACGUGUAGCGGUGAAAUGCGUAGAGAUGUGGAGGAACACCAGUGGCGAAGGCGACUCUCUGGUCUGUAACUGACGCUGAGGAGCGAAAGCGUGGGGAGCGAACAGGAUUAGAUACCCGAGUAGUCCCUGUCUCUUAUAC